GGUUUCCAUUGAGCUCCCACAGCGCAGGUCAGAUUUGUUUCCCACAAGGAUGAUGGGAAUUCUGAAAUAACAUAUGGAGACAGGGGCGACUUAGUGAAACGAAAGAACAGGCUCAAAUUCCUAGACUGCCAAGUUUGCCAACAUUACAUGCAAGCAGUGGGAAGGAGUGCAAAGUUCAACGGCCCAGGUGUAAAAAUAAUCAUGUUUCAAAAGGAAGGUUCUGCCUGAACUAUCAGCGACUGAGUCUGCAGCCCCGGGUGUCAU